rnacentral:lncRNA from 1 species
UAAAAGUGUAUGAUUUUUAGGUAUAUUUGGCACUUAUCAAUUGCUUUCUUCAAAAGAUGCAUGAACAUAUUCUUCUAUGGCUAGUGUUCUUUUAUUGAAGAUUUUAUAAGCUUUACUCUAGGAUCCUCUAUAAUAAAAAAGAUUUUCAUAUCUUUUCAACUCCUACCUUAUGUAAGAUGAACAAAAUAAUAAUUAUACAAAUGUGAUGGUAGUCGAAUGAGCCCACUCUGGUUGUAUGUUUAUGAUUAUUUCAAUAGAAUAAGUUGUCAUGUUUAUGUUGAUUUUAAGACAUUAAGUUGCCAUUGCAAUUAAAAGUAGGAUAAGUUAGAACUGUUGCAGUAAAGAAGGUUGUGGCGAUAAAAUUAUUUUUUCUCAUCCCUUUAGAGUUGUUGUAUUUAGUUUCUGUCAUCACAUUCUUUAGACAAAAG